GAUGAAGAACGUAGCGAAAUGCGAUAAGUAAUGUGAAUUGCAGAAUUCAGUGAAUCAUCGAAUCUUUGAACGCACAUUGCGCCCCUUGGUAUUCCGGGGGGCAUGCCUGUUCGAGCGUCAUUUCAACCCUCAAGCUCUGCUUGGUAUUUGGCUCCGUCCUCCUCGGACGCGCCUCAAAGACCUCGGCGGUGGCGUCUUGCCUCAAGCGUAGUAGAAACACCUCGCUUUGGAGUGCAUGGCGUCGCCCGCCGGACGAAAACUUUUGUAUUUUCUCAAAGGUUGACCUCGGAUCAGGUAGGGAUACCCGCUGACCUUAAGCAUAUCAAUAAGCGGAGGA
rnacentral:misc_RNA from 1 species